CCUACGGGGGGCUGCAGUGGGGAAUAUUGGACAAUGGGGGGAACCCUGAUCCAGCCAUGCCGCGUGUGUGAAGAAGGCCCUCGGGUUGUAAAGCACUUUCAGUGAGGAAGAACGCCUGGUGGUUAAUACCCAUCAGGAAAGACAUCACUCACAGAAGAAGCACCGGCUAACUCCGUGGCCAGCAGCCGCGGUAAUACGGAGGGUGCGAGCGUUAAUCGGAAUUACUGGGCGUAAAGCGCGCGUAGGUGGCUUGAUAAGCCGGUUGUGAAAGCCCCGGGCUCAACCUGGGAACGGCAUCCGGAACUGUCAAGCUAGAGUGCAGGAGAGGAAGGUAGAAUUCCCGGUGUAGCGGUGAAAUGCGUAGAGAUCGGGAGGAAUACCAGUGGCGAAGGCGGCCUUCUGGACUGACACUGACACUGAGGUGCGAAAGCGUGGGUAGCAAACAGGAUUAGAUACCCUGGUAGUC
rnacentral:rRNA from 1 species